rnacentral:lncRNA from 1 species
AACUAACUUGACUGAAAUAUUUAUGAAAAUAAUGUUCCGUUUUUUUAGUAUUGUUCUAGUUUUCUAUAUAUCAAAUUAACCUAAAUUGACAAAAAUAUUCCUGAAAAUAAUUCUAUUAUUUUAUUUUUAUUUAAUAAAUUUUAUGUUUUACCAUUGGAUAAUGGUGAAAAAAGAAGACACCCAAAGUAUAAUCCUAAUCCAAUGUAUGGGAAAAAAAGAGAAAUUUAAAAAGAAAAUUGUUUCAUGC